UUAUUCAAAUGAUGAUACAAAUUUUACCAAACAGUUAUCCCUGUCAGACAUGGUAACAAUUCAGUGGUGAAAAAAACUAAUGUAUCUGAUGAACUU
rnacentral:snoRNA from 1 species